GCAGCGGCGGUUUAAGAGUAGACUUCUUGCCUUCCAUGCAGGAGACCUGGGUUCAAUUCCUGGCCAAUGCA
rnacentral:tRNA from 1 species